CAGUCGACGAUGAAGGGAGCUUGCUCCUGGAUUAGUGGCGAACGGGUGAGUAACACGUGAGUAACCUGCCCUUAACUCUGGGAUAAGCCUGGGAAACUGGGUCUAAUACCGGAUAUGACUCCUCAUCGCAUGGUGGGGGGUGGAAAGCUUUUUGUGGUUUUGGAUGGACUCGCGGCCUAUCAGCUUGUUGGUGAGGUAAUGGCUUACCAAGGCGACGACGGGUAGCCGGCCUGAGAGGGUGACCGGCCACACUGGGACUGAGACACGGCCCAGACUCCUACGGGAGGCAGCAGUGGGGAAUAUUGCACAAUGGGCGCAAGCCUGAUGCAGCGACGCCGCGUGAGGGAUGACGGCCUUCGGGUUGUAAACCUCUUUCAGUAGGGAAGAAGCGAAAGUGACGGUACCUGCAGAAGAAGCGCCGGCUAACUACGUGCCAGCAGCCGCGGUAAUACGUAGGGCGCAAGCGUUAUCCGGAAUUAUUGGGCGUAAAGAGCUCGUAGGCGGUUUGUCGCGUCUGCCGUGAAAGUCCGGGGCUCAACUCCGGAUCUGCGGUGGGUACGGGCAGACUAGAGUGAUGUAGGGGAGACUGGAAUUCCUGGUGUAGCGGUGAAAUGCGCAGAUAUCAGGAGGAACACCGAUGGCGAAGGCAGGUCUCUGGGCAUUAACUGACGCUGAGGAGCGAAAGCAUGGGGAGCGAACAGGAUUAGAUACCCUGGUAGUCCAUGCCGUAAACGUUGGGCACUAGGUGUGGGGGACAUUCCACGUUUUCCGCGCCGUAGCUAACGCAUUAAGUGCCCCGCCUGGGGAGUACGGCCGCAAGGCUAAAACUCAAAGGAAUUGACGGGGGCCCGCACAAGCGGCGGAGCAUGCGGAUUAAUUCGAUGCAACGCGAAGAACCUUACCAAGGCUUGACAUGGACCAGACCGCUGCAGAGAUGUGGUUUCCCCUUUGGGGCUGGUUCACAGGUGGUGCAUGGUUGUCGUCAGCUCGUGUCGUGAGAUGUUGGGUUAAGUCCCGCAACGAGCGCAACCCUCGUUCUAUGUUGCCAGCGCG
rnacentral:rRNA from 1 species